CAGUAGCCACGGUAAUACAGAGGAUGCAAGCGUUAUCCGGAAUGAUUGGGCGUAAAGCGUCUGUAGGUGGCUUUUCAAGUCCGCCGUCAAAUCCCAGGGCUCAACCCUGGACAGGCGGUGGAAACUGCCAAGCUGGAGUACGGUAGGGGCAGAGGGAAUUUCCGGUGGAGCGGUAAAAUGCGUUGAGAUCGGAAAGAACACCAACGGCGAAAGCACUCUGCUGGGCCGACACUGACACUGAGAGACGAAAGCUAGGGGAGCAAAUGGGAUUAGAUACCCCCGUAGUCCCUGUCUCUUAUAC
rnacentral:rRNA from 1 species